rnacentral:lncRNA from 1 species
GGCAGGGGUGGGGUUGCGAUAAGGUUUCGUAUCGAAAUUUUAGGGGUUGAGAUAAAAUUGGUGUCCUAUACUAUUUUGGUGAUAUGGAAUAGAACAUUUAAGCUUUUUAUACGGUAAAAAUAUAAGUGAAUUGGAAUAGAGUUACGGUGUAAAUAAAUGGGUACACCAUUGAAUGUGACAGUGUUGUAUGUAUCCACACAUUUACUGCCUACAAUGAAAAAUGUAUGCUGUAAAAACAUGAGGGGAGUGGAUGUCUUCUAUAGCUCCGGUUGUGAACAGUUACCUAUUAAAAUUGUCCACACUCUGAAGCGUUGACGUCAUCUCCUCUUCAUUUGUUACCGGUACCUUGUAAUUACGGAGGGUAUAAUCGGA